rnacentral:snRNA from 1 species
AGCUUUGCGCAGUGGCAGUAUCGUAGCCAAUGAGGUUAAUCCGAGGCGCGAUUAUUGCUAAUUGAAAACUUUAUUAAUUUAGAC